CCUACGGGCGACUGCAGUCGAGAAUCAUUCACAAUGGGGGAAACCCUGAUGGUGCGACGCCGCGUGGGGGAAUGAAGGUCUUCGGAUUGUAAACCCCUGUCAUGUGGGAGCAAAUUAAAAAGAUAGUACCACAAGAGGAAGAGACGGCUAACUCUGUGCCAGCAGCCGCGGUAAUACAGAGGUCUCAAGCGUUGUUCGGAAUCACUGGGCGUAAGGCGUGCGUAGGCUGUUUCGUAAGUCGUGUGUGAAAGGCGCGGGCUCAACCCGCGGACGGCACAUGAUACUGCGAGACUAGAGUAAUGGAGGGGGAACCGGAAUUCUCGGUGUAGCAGUGAAAUGCGUAGAUAUCGAGAGGAACACUCGUGGCGAAGGCGGGUUCCUGGACAUUAACUGACGCUGAGGCACGAAGGCCAGGGGAGCGAAAGGGAUUAGAUACCCUGGUAGUC
rnacentral:rRNA from 1 species